CACAAGCACCACAGGGGAGGAUCUGCAGCAAAGGGACCACCGGAAAUCAAACCUUGGCCGCCAUGAUGACGACAUGUGGCACUUGAGUGUGUGACUACGACUACCAGCAUGAACCUCAACACCUUCUUUGCUGUUCCACUAGUGUGACCCAUGAUCGGAUACAAGUUGUCAAGGAUAAACGGGAAGAGAAUCAUGUCAGCCCACAGACAACCGGUUGACCUGUGAGUCUUCAAGCAGUAAUGAUGACUACUCCUGCCUUAAGUUCCAGUUUCCUGAACAUCAUGUCGGCAUGAGAUUCUGUCCCCACCUGUCUUCAGUCUGGACUCAAUGAGUUGUUUUUUUUACAGGGGGUUUCAGUCACAUGGUUUAUUUCGAGGCUUUGUCUGAGUUUCAGUGCUGCAGUUAUUUACCAUUCAGGUGUGUUCAGAAAAAUCCAAUUUGUCAUUCUCAUUUGAAGGGCUUGCUGCAGUGAUUCUUUUGUGUACACCAGGAUUUCUUUGUAUUUUGGCAUUUUACACAAAUGUUUUUGAAAGAUGGUCAACAAAGUUGCACAAAUAAAUGUUUAC